rnacentral:rRNA from 1 species
GAUGAACGCUAGCGGCAGGCCUAACACAUGCAAGUCGAGGGGUAGCAGGAUUAAGCUUGCUUAAUUGCUGACGACCGGCGCACGGGUGCGUAACGCGUAUGCAACCUACCUUAUACUGGGGUAUAGCCCGGAGAAAUUCGGAUUAAUCCCCCAUAGUACUAAUGAAUCGCAUGGUUUAUUAGUUAAAGCAUUGCGGUAUAAGAUGGGCAUGCGUCCUAUUAGCUAGAUGGUGAGGUAACGGCUCACCAUGGCUACGAUAGGUAGGGGGCCUGAGAGGGUGGUCCCCCACACUGGUACUGAGACACGGACCAGACUCCUACGGGAGGCAGCAGUGAGGAAUAUUGCGCAAUGGACGAAAGUCUGACGCAGCCAUGCCGCGUGCAGGAUGACGGCCCUAUGGGUUGUAAACUGCUUUUGUACGGGAAUAAACCCUUCUACGUGUAGGAGGCUGAAGGUACCGUAAGAAUAAGCACCGGCUAACUCCGUGCCAGCCGCCGCCGUAA